CAAAUUAAAUCAAAUCAUUUCUUUAGAUGUCAAAUAAAUGGUACUUGACGCCUUUUUGUUUUACCAUUUUGUUCUAAUCAUUGUAUCAAUGAGGGGCCUGAUGGGUUAUUUUCGUUCUUCGUGAUCAGCGCAUUUUCGCUAUCGUGAUCCGUUUUUCUUCAGAUUUUUUUUUUUAUAUUUUCGUGAUCCGUGAUCAUGGAAAUUUAUUUUCUGUGAAUCGUGAUUGACAAAAAAAUCAACUCGUGAAUCGUGAUGAGACCCCCCCAUCAGGCCCCUCAUCAAUCGACACAAUACAAUAUGAUUCUGUUUGUUAUUAUUAGAUUUUUCUUCUCAGAAAUUGGGCACGUAAAUUGGUCUAAUCUAAAAGUUGUUUUGUCUUGUCUUCUCUUAUAUAGUAUCUAUCUUUAAUGCAGCAUAGGUAUAUAAGUUAAGACACCGGCAUAUUAUUUAAAUUCCUUUCAUCAGUUCGUUGUGUAUUGCCUUUGUCCAUAUUUAAUUAUUUAUGUUGUGUGUGCGUGUUAUUCUACUUAAGAAAAUAAAUUACAAAUUUGAUCUUUUAAGUACACUUUACGACGGAUAUUUAACACCAGUUUAAAAUACAUAUAUAUAUUUGGAACCAUUCUUCGUGUCGAGUCUACGCAAUAAAAUGUUUACAUUGUGUGAUUAUGAAUACGGUAGAAGAAAUAUCCGGAAAAAACCCUUUAGUACUCAAAUAAAUUAGAAAAAAAGCUGACAAUAUAUGUAUAAUAUUUGAGGUAGGUCUAGUUUUUAUCCUUGAAGAGGAACAUUAUACAUUGUACCAAGUUUAGUAAUUAUUUCACCAGUAUCAAUACAAACCAUUAUGGCUUGACAAAAACUCAAUAAUAUUGAGAAUGGAAACGGAGAAUGUGUCAAAGAGACAAAAACCCGACCAAAGAGCAGAAAACAGCCCAAGGCCACCAAUUGGUCUUCAACACAGAGAGAAAAUCCCGCACCCGGAGGCGGGCUUCAGCUGGCCCCUCAACAAAAAUGUGUACUAGUUCAGCGAAAAUGUACAUCAUACUAAACUCCGAAACAUAUAAAUGAACCAUAAUUAGAAAAAAAACCAUUAAGACUAACAAAGGCAAGAUGCUCCGGAUUUGAGACAGGCGCAAACAUGCAUGCGGUGGGGUUAAAUAUAUUUUGUGAGAUCUCAACCCUCCCCCUAUACCUCUAGCCAAUGUAGAAUAAUCAAACACACAGCAAUACGCACAGAAAACUCAGUUUAAAUGAAGUCAAGAGUCCGAUGUUAGAAAAGGUAACAGAAGAAACACAACAGUCCGAUGUUAGAAAAGGUAACAGAAGAAACACAACAGUCCGAUGUUAGAAAAGGUAACAGAAGAAACACAACAGUCCGAUGUUAGAACAGGUAACAGAAGAAACACAACAGUCCGAUGUUAGAAUAGGUAACAGAAGAAACACAACAGUCCGAUGUUAGAAUAGGUAACAGAAGAAACACAACAGUCCGAUGUUAGAAUAGGUAACAGAAGAAACACAACAGUCCGAUGUUAGAAUAGGUAACAGAAGAAACACAAUAGUCCGAUGUUAGAAUAGGUAACAGAAGAAACACAACAGUCCGAUGUUAGAAUAGGCAACAGAAGAAACACAAUAGUCCGAUGUUAGAAUAGGCAACAGAAGAAACACAAUAGUCCGAUGUUAGAAUAGGCAACAGAAGAAACACAAUAGUCCGAUGUUAGAAUAGGC